rfam:Collinsella stercoris DSM 13279 Scfld3 genomic scaffold, whole genome shotgun sequence.
CUGCAUAUCACGGGGAGCCUGCAGGACGAGACGGCAAGCUGAGAGGGGGCGGCGCCCGCCCCGACCCGAAGAACCUGAUAUGGAUAAUGCCAACGAAGGGAGCGAGUGCAUGAGCACCA